AUACUCCGGUUUCUCUUCAGAUCAUAUAAAUCUUUUGCCUUUUACUAAAUAUUUGUAUGGAUAGGAACAGCUCUGAGUUUUUAAUAUUGUGAGACCUUGCAUUGGCAGGGGU
ensembl:snRNA U5 U5 spliceosomal RNA